rnacentral:tRNA from 1 species
UGCCCGGUGGUGCAACCGGUAACACGCUUGGCUCUGGACCAAGUAUUCCUGGUUCGAAUCCAGGCCGGGCAGCCA